GGAAUUCUUUUUAAUUUUUUCGUGCUUUGUAUCUUUCCCCUAUAAAGAAUAGUUAGCUAUACAUCAACAGUUACGCAUGAGACUCUGAACCAAACGGGAGUGAAGGACAGGAGAAGAGACGACUAGGCACAGAAGACGAAGAGAGAGGAAAGGUAAGAGUGAAAAAAGACAGCAAUUUCUCUACAGUGGAACGGAAAACAAACCAUGGGAAGUGUACGUUUCUUUAACAUUUACAAUUGUAAUAAUACCAACGGCCAUAAUAAUAACAUUAACAACAAUCAGAAUUGUUCAAAUAAUAACAAUUGAUAAAAAAUCCAUUAAACCUCUGGUUUCUCAUAAAGACAAAUGACAUUUUUUUUUUUUUAUUCUUUUCUUUAUUUUCUUUAAAGAUCACUGGACAGGUUUGUUCGGCUUUGCACCUCUAUAGGCUAAUAUUCUGUGUUAGUAUAUUUGCUUCAUAAUGCGUUUCAAUAGUAAACUUUUUUUUUUUUCUUAAAAGAUUCAUUUAAUUUAUGUUGCUGCUCUUUUUUUUUUAUACAAAUACGGCGUUCAGAGAUGUGUAUGCUGCCUGCUGCGUGUAUAAAUGUGUCGACAUGUGUGGUAGCGUUCAGAAAAAAAAACAUCCACCCAUUUCAGUUCCUAAUUCAUUCACUCCCCUUGCCCUUCUUAAGACUUUUAAACCUUUUUAUCCUCUUAAUGACAUUCUAAAAUAAUUAAGCUCUUCUUUAAUGCCUCGGCAAGUCAUAUUCCUUUCUUCCUCGUCGGGAACGCAGCCCAACACUAAUCCUUUCAUUAACAGGAGCCAACAAAGGAGGGGAGAUAGCGGGGGGGGGAGACGGGGAGGCAGGAGGGGAUGGUAACAGGUGAGCGGAGGGAGGAGACGGAGACCUAAUUGAAAGAAAGGAGAAACCGUUCGCGAGAUAAAAUCCUGAAAGGGGAUUUUUCACAAACGGUCGGUGGGCCACCUAGCACGCGCGUCUCGUCCGCCAAGUCUGGAUGGCUUGUCAGAGGACUAACUGGGAUACUUUGGCCGUUUUCAAAAUUUAAAUUUUCUAGCUCUCAAUAGCUCUCGAAACCGCCUCCGCCGGCUAUCGACUGAAUCCACCGCGGCGGUCGGACAGGCCGCUUUUCUCUGCGCUCCCUUUCGUCCCCUUCGACCCCAGAGAAUAAUUAUGGCAUCAUUUCCCCCCCUGACUCGCUCGCUUCCCUCAGUCUCCCCGAACUCAGAGUAUAAUGGCACCGCCGUCGAUGGCUGGUGGGUCUAUAGGCUCUUUUCCUCAGUCCGUCGCUCGGUGUGUGCGUGUGUGCGUGUGUGUGUGUGUGCGUGUGCGUGUGGAGGACAUGAAGGACGGGGGCAGCGCAACAAAAGGGCAGCGCAGGUGCCAUUACAAGGCUUCCCAAUUGAUUGUUAGAUGUUAUUGUGUCUCAUGAGGUGAGG
ensembl:lncRNA